AUUGAACGCUGGCGGCAUGCUUUACACAUGCAAGUCGAACGGCAGCGCGGGCUUCGGCCUGGCGGCGAGUGGCGAACGGGUGAGUAAUACAUCGGAACGUGCCCAGUAGUGGGGGAUAGCUCGGCGAAAGCCGGAUUAAUACCGCAUACGACCUGAGGGUGAAAGCGGGGGAUCUUCGGACCUCGCGCUAUUGGAGCGGCCGAUGGCAGAUUAGAUAGUUGGUGGGGUAAAGGCCUACCAAGGCGACGAUCGGUAGCUGGUCUGAGAGGACGACCAGCCACACUGGGACUGAGACACGGCCCAGACUCCUACGGGAGGCAGCAGUGGGGAAUUUUGGACAAUGGGCGAAAGCCUGGUCCAGCAAUGCCGCGUGUGUGAUGAAGGCCUUCGGGUUGUAAAGCACUUUUGGCGGGAACGAAAAGGACUGUGCCUAUACCACGGUUCGAUGACGGUACCCGCAGAAUAAGCACCGGCUAACUACGUG
rnacentral:rRNA from 1 species